GACGAACGCUGGCGGCGUGCCUAAUACAUGCAAGUAGAACGCUGAAGGGAGAGCUUGCUCUUCUGGAUGAGUUGCGAACGGGUGAGUAACGCGUAGGUAACCUGCCUGGUAGCGGGGGAUAACUAUUGGAAACGAUAGCUAAUACCGCAUAAUAGUAGAUGUUGCAUGACAUUUGCUUAAAAGGUGCAAUUGCAUCACUACCAGAUGGACCUGCGUUGUAUUAGCUAGUUGGUGGGGUAACGGCUCACCAAGGCGACGAUACAUAGCCGACCUGAGAGGGUGAUCGGCCACACUGGGACUGAGACACGGCCCAGACUCCUACGGGAGGCAGCAGUAGGGAAUCUUCGGCAAUGGACGGAAGUCUGACCGAGCAACGCCGCGUGAGUGAAGAAGGUUUUCGGAUCGUAAAGCUCUGUUGUAAGAGAAGGACGAGUGUGAGAGUGGAAAGUUCACACUGUGACG
rnacentral:rRNA from 1 species